ACCUGCGGAAGGACAUUAUCUAUUCCAUGAGGUGCGGUCGCGGCCCUCGGCGGGAGCAACAGCUGCCGUCGGGCGGUAGAGGUAACACUUUCACGCGCCGCAUGUCUGAAUCCUUUUUUUACGAGCACCUUUCGUUCUCCUUCGGCGGGGCAACCUGCCGUUGGAACCUAUCAAAACCUUUUUUUGCAUCUAGCAUUACCUGUUCUGAUACAAACAAUCGUUACAACUUUCAACAAUGGAUCUCUUGGCUCUGGCAUCGAUGAAGAACGCAGCGAAAUGCGAUAAGUAGUGUGAAUUGCAGAAUUCAGUGAAUCAUCGAAUCUUUGAACGCACAUUGCGCCCCUUGGUAUUCCAUGGGGCAUGCCUGUUCGAGCGUCAUCUACACCCUCAAGCUCUGCUUGGUGUUGGGCGUCUGUCCCGCCUCUGCGCGCGGACUCGCCCCAAAUUCAUUGGCAGCGGUCCUUGCCUCCUCUCGCGCAGCACAUUGCGCUUCUCGAGGUGCGCGGCCCGCGUCCACGAAGCAACAUUACCGUCUUUGACCUCGGAUCAGGUAGGGAUACCCGCUGAACUUAAGCAUA
rnacentral:rRNA from 1 species